rnacentral:tRNA from 1 species
GCACCAGUGGUGGAAUUGGCAUACACGCAUCUUUGCCUUGGCUUCUUCAUCAGAGGGAUCCAAGGAAAGAUGUCUCUUCGGAGAUACGAGUUCGAAUCUCGUCUGGUGCACCA